AUUGAACGCUGGCGGCAGGCUUAACACAUGCAAGUCGAGCGGUAGCACAGGGGAGCUUGCUCCCUGGGUGACGAGCGGCGGACGGGUGAGUAAUGUCUGGGAAACUGCCUGAUGGAGGGGGAUAACUACUGGAAACGGUAGCUAAUACCGCAUAACGUCGCAAGACCAAAGAGGGGGACCUUCGGGCCUCUUGCCAUCAGAUGUGCCCAGAUGGGAUUAGCUAGUAGGUGGGGUAAUGGCUCACCUAGGCGACGAUCCCUAGCUGGUCUGAGAGGAUGACCAGCCACACUGGAACUGAGACACGGUCCAGACUCCUACGGGAGGCAGCAGUGGGGAAUAUUGCACAAUGGGCGCAAGCCUGAUGCAGCCAUGCCGCGUGUGUGAAGAAGGCCUUCGGGUUGUAAGGCACUUUCAGCGAGGAGGAAGGUGGUGAGCUUAAUACGUUCAUCAAUUGACGUUACUCGCAGAAGAAGCACCGGCUAACUCCGUG
rnacentral:rRNA from 1 species